UACAGAGGUCUCAAGCGUUGUUCGGAUUCAUUGGGCGUAAAGGGUGCGUAGGCGGCGCGGUAAGUCGGGUGUGAAGUCUCGGGGCUUAACUCCGAAACUGCAUUCGAUACUGCCGUGAUUGAGGACUGGAGAGGAGACUGGAAUUUACGGUGUAGCGGUGAAAUGCGUAGAUAUCAGGAGGAACACCGGUGGCGAAGGCGGGUCUCUGGGCCGAUACUGACGCUGAGGAGCGAAAGCGUGGGGAGCGAACAGG
rnacentral:rRNA from 1 species